AUUGAACGCUGGCGGCAUGCCUUACACAUGCAAGUCGAACGGCAGCACGGGAGCAAUCCUGGUGGCGAGUGGCGAACGGGUGAGUAAAGUAUCGGAACGUGCCCAGUCGUGGAGGAUAACGUAGCGAAAGUUACGCUAAUACCGCAUACGAUCUAGGGAUGAAAGCGGGGGAUCGCAAGACCUCGCGCGAUUGGAGCGGCCGAUAUCAGAUUAGGUAGUUGGUGGGGUAAAGGCUCACCAAGCCGACGAUCUGUAGCUGGUCUGAGAGGACGACCAGCCACACUGGGACUGAGACACGGCCCAGACUCCUACGGGAGGCAGCAGUGGGGAAUUUUGGACAAUGGGCGAAAGCCUGAUCCAGCCAUGCCGCGUGCAGGAUGAAGGCCUUCGGGUUGUAAACUGCUUUUGUACAGAACGAAAAGGUUUGGCCUAAUAAGCUGAGCCCAUGACGGUACCGUAAGAAUAAGCACCGGCUAACUACGUGCCAGCCGCCGCCGUAA
rnacentral:rRNA from 1 species